rnacentral:rRNA from 1 species
GAUGAACGCUGGCGGCGUGCCUAAUACAUGCAAGUCGAGCGAAUGGAUUAAGAGCUUGCUCUUAUGAAGUUAGCGGCGGACGGGUGAGUAACACGUGGGUAACCUGCCCAUAAGACUGGGAUAACUCCGGGAAACCGGGGCUAAUACCGGAUAACAUUUUGAACCGAAUGGUUCGAAAUUGAAAGGCGGCUUCGGCUGUCACUUAUGGAUGGACCCGCGUCGCAUUAGUUAGUUGGUGAGGUAACGGCUCACCAAGGCAACGAUCCGUAGCCGACCUGAGAGGGUGAUCGGCCACACUGGGACUGAGACACGGCCCAGACUCCUACGGGAGGCAGCAGUAGGGAAUCUUCCGCAAUGGACGAAAGUCUGACGGAGCAACGCCGCGUGAGUGAUGAAGGCUUUCGGGUCGUAAAACUCUGUUGUUAGGGAAGAACAAGUGCUAGUUGAAUAAGCUGGCACCUUGACGGUACCUAACCAGAAAGCCACGGCUAACUACGUGCCAGCCGCCGCGGUAA